CUCAGGUGGUGCUCAGGUGAUGCUCAGGUGAUGCUCAGGCGAUGCUCAGGUGUUGCUCAGGUGAUGCUCAGGUGAUGCUCAGGCGAUGCUCAGGUGUUGCUCAGGUGAUGCUCAGGUGAUGCUCAGGCGAUGCUCAGGUGGUGCUCACCGUGCUCCCUCACAGGCCGUGACCGUCCCUCUCCAGGGCUUCCUGCACAGCCUGGUCUACGGGUGGCUGCGGCAGAACUUCCGUCAGGAGGCGGCGGGUGAGACGCCCUCCCCGCAGCCCCGCCGCGGCCUCCAGCCGUUCUACGACGAGGCCCUGGGGACUGUCCCCUAAGCUGCCACCUCGUCCCAGUCCCCCCAUUCUGCCCGAAGCCUCGAUGGGACCUUUUCACACCCCCCUCCAUAGCCAGGCAGGAUCUCUCUGGAUUCGGCCCCUCGUGCCUGGGCAUGGUUCCCACAACGGUGGGGGCUACCCCGGUGGGACCCCCAAAGCCCCCAACAUCCCACCGCCUGCACCGCGCAGAAGCAAAAGCACGUGUGGCCGCUGCGUGGGGGCUGGACUGCGGGCGAUGGGACAGGAGCUCUGGCAGAGGGACGUCCCCAUUCUGCACCACGAACCGCUCGGCUCCGCAGGCUCAGAAGCGCUCAGGUGCCGUGGGACGAGGUUGGUGGCACACAGACAGUGUGACAAUGCCGAGAGCUUCAGCAACUGCACAUUGACUGGGACCGUCCCCGGGGAGGGGGUGGUUCUUUCUGUUGCGUUUGGUUUUGUUUCGGGGUUGCACUUUCUGCUGGUGAACAAUCCAAAUUCCUCUGCAGGGCUGGGGACGCGGUGCUUGCGAAUAAAGGUCUCGAGGUUGGGGCGC